AUUGAACGCUGGCGGUAUGCUUAGCACAUGCAAGUCGAACGGCAGCAUGGUCUAGCUUGCUAGACUGAUGGCGAGUGGCGAACGGGUGAGUAACGCGUAGGAAUAUACCUUAAAGAGGGGGACAACUUGGGGAAACUCAAGCUAAUACCGCAUAAUUUCUUCGGAAAAAAGCUGGGGACCUUCGGGCCUGGCGCUUUAAGAUUAGCCUGCGUACGAUUAGCUAGUUGGUAGGGUAAAGGCCUACCAAGGCGACGAUCGUUAGCUGGUCUGAGAGGAUGACCAGCCACACUGGAACUGAGACACGGUCCAGACUCCUACGGGAGGCAGCAGUGGGGAAUAUUGGACAAUGGGGGCAACCCUGAUCCAGCAAUACCGCGUGUGUGAAGAAGGCCUGAGGGUUGUAAAGCACUUUCAGUGGGGAGGAGGAUACUUAGGUUAAGAGCCAGAGUAUUGGACGUUACCCACAGAAGAAGCACCGGCUAACUCCGUGCCAGCAGCCGCAGUAA
rnacentral:rRNA from 1 species